AAUCAUCAACUCUUAUUUCUUUUUCAGAGAUGAGAGCUUGGACUUGGAGGUUUUUGCUGGCACUUUGUGCCGGCUCCUCUUGAAUGCAUUAGCUUGAACCUUUGCUGUAUCGGCCUCGGUGUGAUAAUUGUCUACGCCGUGGCUGUGAGGCUUAUUUUUAAAUGGGCUCAGCUUCUAAUGGUCUGCUUGCGGACAACAUCUCAUUGAC
rnacentral:misc_RNA from 1 species